AAACCACAGCCGGUCAGACCCACAGAGCCAGUAGGAGAGGCCACUGAUGAUGAUGAUGCAUGGGCUAAAAAGAAGAGGGACUAUACUCCUUUGGAGCAGUCCUACCUCAUAGAUAACCAAAAGUGGGUCAAUGCAAACAAAAAAUGCAUGGCUUUUAUAAAGAAUACAAUUGAGAGCGCCAUUGUGGGCUCCAUUGCAGAGUGCACUUCCGCAAGGGAGUUGCUUACAAAGAUAAAGAGCCAGUUCACUGGCUCUUCAAAGAUAUAUGCCACCCAAGUGUUAGAGCAACUGAUGACACAGCGCUACACGGGUGGUAGUCAUGGAAUAAGAGAGCACAUCCUGAGGAUGAGCAAUAUGGCA
rnacentral:rRNA from 1 species